CCAACUCUUGAUUUCAGCUCAGGUUCGUGAGUUCGAGCUCCACACUGUCAGUGAGGAGCCUGCUUGGGAUUCUUUCUGUCUCAAAAUAAAUAAGUAAAAACUUUAAAAAAAUAAAAAUUCAUGUUCUUUAAUACUGGAAAUUUAUCUUACUAUCUUUUUUCUACUUUGUAUUAUCUCUAUUUCAUCUAGGUUCCUUUUUUUCCUGCUUAUUUAGGUCUAUCUUUCAUGUUAGAGAUGUUGUCAAAUGCCUGAUCAUCCUGGUUCUGUUCUUAAAGAAUGGAGUAUUAUAAAUGACUGGAAGAUCUAUACAGAUUAUGUAAGAGGGAGGUCUUGAAACUUGUGGCUUAGAGGUCAUGUGGACUGAGUACAGCCUUUGCAACAAUAUUGGUGGGCCACAACGAGUAAAGUGUACAUUUCAUCUCUUGAGCUAGUUUUUCAAAAGGGAGGUUCUCCCACCAGCAAUCUGGGAGCAAAGGACCUGGAGGAUGUGACCAUUCAGCAUAACAAAUUCCUGUUUUCAGUAAGGCACUACAACACCACCAUCAGUUGGAUCUGAUGUCCUUGAAUCCAAAGACCCCCCUGGUUCAGCCACUCCAGAGUAAAUCCUUCCUGUGUGUCCAAAUGUGAGAGAGGCAGUCAUUUGCUCAAUUUGAUGUAAGGAAUCUGGGGUUCUAAAUACUCUUAAUAGAAACACUCAAGUCUCCUUGUUUUUAGUCCCAUCCUACACACUAGUCUUAAGGGGGACCUCCAAUUUCUGAGGUUUUCUGAGAGUUCUUUGGAGAAUCAUGUUGAUUCUUGUGGGCUUCCCCCACCUACAGGAAAGCAAGUUUUAGCUUUCCCUGUUCUGUUAGUCCCUUUACAUUGGUUGAUAAGCUUUCUACUUUCCACAGUUCUAUAAUCAUCCUUCUGCUGCCAUCCCUCUCCAAUUUUGUAUUCAAAAUCUUCAUACAUUUUUAUGUUCCUUCACAAUAAUUUUAGGAAGUUUAGGGAGGGACCAGAGUUAAAUGUGUUCAAACAGCCUUAUUUAACCAAUAAUCUUGUUAAGUACUUUUGGAAACAGUGUGCAGGAUGUUGAAAAUACACAAUAAACACAUUCUUAGCUACUCAUAUUUUUAAAAAGCUUUACUGAGGUAGAGUUGAUGUACAAAAAACUAUACAUAUUUCAUGUAUAAAAUCUGAUGAGUUUGGACAUAUGCAUAUACCCAUGAUACCAUCACCACAGUCAAGGUAAUAAACAUAUAUCAUCACCUCCAAAAGUUUCCUUGUGUCCUUUUGUGGGUUUUUGUGGCUACUCAAAUUUGAUCGGUAAUUACACUAACAGAUUUCUUCCUUAUCCUUCUUUGAUUUAAGGUUGGUUGGAACAAGGCUUAAAACACUUAAAUAGCACUUUCAUGUACACAAAAAUUGGAAGUCCAACCACAAAAAUAUAUAUGCUACAAAUGGAUUUUCCACUAUAGUAACCAACACUCAUGUUUUUACUAGAUAUUCUGAUAUAUGACUUGCAUAAUUCUUAUUGUAAAUACUGGUUUUAAUAUCCUCUGUUUUGAGGAAGGCAUAGAUUUCACUUCUCAAAAACAAAGCAAACCAUUCAGGACCUACCACAUGCGAGGCAUUAUACCAGUACCAGAAGAGAACAGAACAAUGAACACAACGGUUCGGAAAAACAGUGAAAAAUAAAACUAAAAAGGUAGAUUGAAGCUAUACUGUGAAGGCUCAGAACUUCACACUAAGACAUUUGGACUUUAUAAUAAUAAUAAAUUAUAUUUAAUUUGUUUGACCAAGUCUUAAAAUGAGUGACUCUAUAAUUUGUUAUGUUACAUAAAAUCAAAAAAUUACUUUUCUUACAGUAAUUUAGGCUGGAUUCCAUGUGGGGUGGAAACAGUAAGGGAGUGAAGAAAAUGACUACCAAAAAAUUAGAACAGAACACUUUCAAAACAAAAACUUUCACUACUCUCUUUUUUUAGGGAGGUAAUACCAUAUAAUGAAGAAAACAUUACUGGACUAGAAGAUAGGAGACUUGUGUUCUUGGUUGAACUCAGCUAGCCUAUUCACAUCAGUUCCUUUGGAAAACAGCUAUUAAUAUCCCUGUGAUCAAGAUUACUGUAAAAGUCACUGUGUUCAUGACAUCACUUACCACUCUGACAUAUCACUGACUACAGAAUGAAUAGAGAAUACAUGGCAAUCUAAACAAGGAAGAUGAGAAAACAUAAAUACAGGUGUUGUAUCAAUGCUAAUGAUUACUUUUGAUAUAAUGAUUAACUUAAUAAAAAAAGGUUUUUUUGAUGUCUUUAUUUUUGACAGAGAGACAGAGUGCUAGCAGGGGAGGGGCAGAGAGAGACAAGAGACACAGAAUCCAAACCAGGCUCCAGGCUCUAAGCUGUCAGCACAGAGCCUGAGGCAGGGCUCGAACUCACCAACCUUGAGAUCAUGACCUGAAGCGAAGUCGGACUCUUAACUGACUGAGCCCCCAGGCACCCCAAUAUAAUGGUUACUUUAUAUUCUAUAUAGCUUAAACUUUGGAAUUGAGAAAGAUGUUCUACUUGUGUUUAUCCUUUAUUUGUUGGUUUUAUUAUAUAUUCUGACCCCUAUCAAUAACUUUUUAAAAUUAUGCCUGAGAUCAAAAGUAUUUCUAAAGUGAAAAGAAAUAACACAAGAAUUAGAGAACUAUAGUAAGCAUGCAUAUUUUUGCAUUUUGACAAAAUCUACCCUUAUUUAUCUUAAAGAAUGCAAAUUGGGAAUGAAUAAUUCAAUUAGAACUUUAAAAUUUUAAUCAGUCAAAUAAAUCACUUUUGUCCUUUAUUAUUUCCUUUAUCCUUCUAUUAUAUUCCCUUCUACAAGUUUGUCAAACAUUAUUUUUUUGGUCAAACAUUAUAUUUUGUUUCAAUAAUUUGACUUUCUGUAUUUAAUCACCUGAAGAUUGCCUUGGUAUUUGGUAUAAGGAUCUAAAUAUAUUUUUCUUCAGAUGAUUAGUAAUAUUAUAUUAUGACUUUAUAAAUAACCAAACCUUUUCCUUCUCCCUAUUUAGUAUAUAUUAAUUCCUAACAAGAUCUAUUCCCUAGUUGUUGAUUCAACUCCAUUAACUAGUAUAUUUUUAUACCACUGACAGACUAUCUUAACUAUUACAGUUUUCUAGUUUUUAAAAGAGUUGGUCCUUGCUUACCACUAUUUUCAUCCAAAGUUUUCUAUGUCAUUUCUCUUUGCUCAUCCAAGUUAACAUUAUAUUGUCAAGUUCAGAAAAGAUCCGGUUAGUAUUUUAGUGAAAAUUGCAUCAAAUAUGAAAAUAAAUGAUAUUUUAAGUAUCACUGCGAAAGCUCAAUUACAUUUAACUUUUCCAAUCAAGAACACUUAGUUUUUUUUCAAUAAUACAAAUGAAAAUAAUUCUACCUAAGGUUCUACUUUCUACAUAAGGUUAUUUCCAGAUAUUUAGUAUUUUUUUUUAAUUUUUUUUUUCAACGUUUAUUUAUUUUUGGGACAGAGAGAGACAGAGCAUGAACGGGGGAGGGGCAGAGAGAGAGGGAGACAGAAUCGGAAACAGGCUCCAGGCUCUGAGCCAUCAGCCCAGAGCCUGACACGGGGCUCGAACUCACGGACCGCGAGAUCGUGACCUGGCUGAAGUCGGACGCUUAACCGACUGCGCCACCCAGGCGCCCCCAGAUAUUUAGUAUUUUGAAAGGGACCUCUUUUAAUCACUUCUUAUUUGGCUGACCUAUAGGACCAUUUCCUACUUUUAUUCAAUCACUUUGCUCCUUUCUUAAAAAUUAGCCACUUCAAGGCAAUACAUUUGUUUAAUAUACUUGUUAAAAAAAGAAUCAACAAAAGGAAAAUAGCAUUUCAAAAAAGAGCCAAAGGCUUUUUUUUUUAACAGAAGAAAACAGUGCAGAAGAACAACAACUGUUUUGUGAAAUACAGGUUUCUCCAUCACCUACUUUUUCCAGUUGCCAUUUUCCCAGAGUUCUUGGUCACCAAAAUCCUCACCAAAAAACCACAUUCUUUGCUAGAUGAGGGUUCCCCAAAUCAGGUAACUUCAAAAGCCUCCAAUGAGUAGACCUUAACUCCUGUUUUGACCCCACAAAUGCCCUCACCUAUUCAGGAUAUUCUAAGAGCCACAGAUGUCUGAAAGUCUAUUCAUUCUCCCAGGCAACCCUCAAAGAGGUUGAUAUUCAUGUAUUUCUGGCAGAUACGAAAUUCCUUCACGGCUUGUAGAAUGCCACUGUUUUCCUGGUUUUACCCUAGGUGGUUUUCCUUUUCUACAGCUUUCUUUUAGUCUGCUCCUCACAAAUUAUGGUGCUUAUCAGGGUUCUCUCCUUGGUACUUUGUUAUAUUAUAUCUACAAUAUGAAAGACUUUAUUUCUGUGCAAGUCUUCCAAAUACAAAACCCUCAAUAAAUCUUUACCUCUCGCCUCGAUAACAAAAUGUCUGAAACAACCACAUUCCAUAUUCCUUCCAGUUCUAAUCCCACUUAAAACUGAAUUGAGAGGCAUUAGAAGAAAGCAUCAAGUAUACUGUCACUGUCUCUGAAAUAUUAAAGAAAAUUUUACUAUGGCACAUACCCAUUUGUGUCUCUGUAGUAAACCUGUUGACAAUUUAUAGAAACAGCUAACAAGGUACACUUACAGAGUGCUGGAGUUAGUGAAAAUAGAAAAUGAAAUCUGCUGUUCAAAAUCUACAAUACUCUUUAAGUAUGUAUAAACCAGAAUUAUAUGACUGAUUAAAUCUAAUACAACAAACAUAAGCCUUCCUCUCUAGAUCUUUCUCUAAGAACAUGUACUCUAAACAACCAAUUCAUUUAUUUGCUUUCUGUAGCCAUACUGAAAAAGAAAGUAUACCAUUAUUACUUUUUAAUCAGUCUUACACUGUUGUGAUUUUAUUUUCAGUUAACAAUUUACACUAGUUCUAAAACUCAUCUCAACCUGGAACUCACAGGGUAUGCCUUUGUGGAACAUAAGGAAAUUCUGCCAUUUGACUCUACUGCAUGUAUAAGAAAAAGACCUUCAACUUUUCAAACAGACCUUAUAUACAUGCUGGAUGAGGGAAAACAUGUACUGAGAACUACCUACCAUCCUUCAGACACUCUUCUUGGCAUUGUGGAUACAAAGCUAAUCUUGACCCUCGGCAGUCAAGCUGGAAUUGAGAAGCUUGAUGUGGAGAUAGCCUAAAAGUGAAACAAGGAGAAGUAUUCAAGGAGGAAAGAAGGAAAACCUUCACAUCAAAUUGGAUUCAUAAGCUGUAUACACUGGGCAAAGAUGACAGCACAAGAAAUAAUUUCAACUAACUU